rnacentral:rRNA from 1 species
GUGUCAGCAGCCGCGGUAAUACGAAGGGGGCAAGCGUUGUUCGGAAUUACUGGGCGUAAAGGGCGCGCAGGCGGCUUUGUAAGUCAGAUGUGAAAGCCCCGGGCUCAACCUGGGAAUAGCAUUUGGGACUGCAUGGCUAGAGAUCGGGAGAGGAGAGUGGAAUUCCCAGUGUAGAGGUGAAAUUCGUAGAUAUUGGGAAGAACACCGAUGGCGAAGGCAGCCAUCUGGACUGACACUGACGCUGAGGCGCGAAAGCGUGGGGAGCAAACAGGAUUAGAUACCCCGGUAGUCC